UGAAAAGAAUGUCCGCCCUUAGUUCU
rnacentral:piRNA from 1 species